rnacentral:rRNA from 1 species
UACGUAGGGUGCGAGCGUUGUCCGGAAUUAUUGGGCGUAAAGGGCUCGUAGGCGGUUUGUUGCGUCAGGAGUGAAAACUCGGGGCUUAACCCCGAGCCUGCUUCUGAUACGGGCAGACUAGAGGUAUGCAGGGGAGAACGGAAUUCCUGGUGUAGCGGUGAAAUGCGCAGAUAUCAGGAGGAACACCGGUGGCGAAGGCGGUUCUCUGGGCAUUACCUGACGUGAGGAGCGAAAGUGUGGGGGAGCGAACAGG